CAAUAAUCAAAAUCCAGACUAUUGGAAAUUUAAACAAAUGAGCUGGUUUACUAAAUGGCAAGGUGGAAAAAAGAAAUAGAGGGAGGAAAUCUGUAGAUUAAAAGAAAAAAAAAAAAAUCCAUGGAAAAAUUAGCAAGCAACUUGAACAGGCACUUCACAAAGGAAGAGGAUAUCCAAUUGGUCAGUAAGUUUAUUAGUAGUGAGGUGCAAAUAAAAACUACCAUGAUCUGGC
rnacentral:lncRNA from 1 species